UUCCCCGCACGGCUGGUCUGAGAUCGUGGGGAAAAGUCGAGUCUGGCCCGUGUGCCCCAGCCGCGAUCCCCGUUCCACCGCCGCGUGCCCUGCCCGUCCGUGUGACACAUCUCCCGAGCCUGUUGCCGUGCCCAGAUGCAGAGGUGUCUGCGAUGCGAGUGGCGUGUCAGCGCGUGUUCUUUGUCCUUGAGACUAACUCUCUCUUCUAGGAGUAUCCUUGGCACUCACAUGGAUGAAGAGCAUGAGAAAAUAAUCAUGAAACUGAUGGGGCUUCCUCAUCUCAGGAAGACCCAAGUCCUGGAAAGAACGAAGCUAUGAAGCAUUGACUGAAGAUAUUUUGCCUUUUCAGGCUGAGAGGUGUGUAAGACAACAGUGUUGUCUGUUCCAGAGGUGGGGCUGACGUGUUUUGCUUCCUGACAAUAGUAGUGCUGAUGGUGGAAUUUGCAAUUCCACACCAAGCCACAAAGCAUUUCAGAGAUCAAUGGAAUGUUAUUGACAGGUUUUAGUUAAGAAGUAAUAGUUAAAAAAAACCUAUGACUCCUACUGUGAGAUCUGAGAUAACAUUAAGAGUGUUACGAGAGAAAAAGUGCAUGGAAAACCACACAAAUACAGACACUAAGAUUCUGAUGAGU
rnacentral:lncRNA from 1 species